GAAAAAGUAUAUUUACUGUAAUAUAAAAAUAAUUUUAUAAUUUUAUAAAAUAGUUUUAUUAAAAUAAAUUUACUGUAAACAAAUAGAAGAAAAGGGGAAAAAAAAGAGGAAAGGCGGAGCCUGGAGUCUGUUGAUCCUCACUUCCAGAGAUGGGAAAAUGGGAGAAAUCAAACAAACAAGCAUGGGAAUUCUUUCAACAAUUCUCCCUGUCGCGCUUCUAAUCGCUUGUUCUGUAACUCACGUGAGAUCGGACGCCUCCAAUCACCGCUACAAGGACGGCGAUUCUGUUCCCCUCUGCGCCAAUAAGGUCGGCCCCUUUCACAACCCCAGGUAUGCACAAGAUGAGGAAAAUGC
rnacentral:misc_RNA from 1 species